rnacentral:misc_RNA from 1 species
AACGCACAUUGCGCCUGGUGGUAUUCCGCCAGGCAUGCCUGUUCGAGCGUCAUUACACCACUCCAGCCCAGCUGGGUGUUGGGCGUCCGCGGUUUUCGCCGCGCGCCUCAAUGUCUCUCGGCCGCGCCGACCGUCUCCCAGCGUUGUGGCAUCACAUUUUCGCUCCGGAGCUCGGCCGUCGCGUCGCCGUCGACCCAAACCAUUUCAUUAAGGUUGACCUCGGAUCAGGUAGGGAUACCCGCUGAACUUAA